GGAUGAAGUUCGAAAUUUAUGCUAACUUGGUUUAGGAAACCACUGCCUCCUUUGGGAUCACCGCCAUAACGAAGAGGGGGUGUAGCGUGGGCAGAAGCCCUCCUGCAACCAUCUCCAUAUGAGAUUACUGGGGUCUAUGACCCGGGAUAUGUUCCUCCGGCUGGAGAUGGGCAGUACGGGCUAGCAAGGUCUGAACAGCUACAGCGAACUGGUCCAUACGAUGGUCCAGUUCCUCAAACCGGUUAUCAGGAACCAGCCCAUGAGGGUUAGCACCUGCAGGGUCCAUA